rnacentral:lncRNA from 1 species
UGCAUGUUGUGCACAUGUACCCUAGAACUUAAAGUUUUAAAAAAAAGUUAAUUUUGUAUAUGUAUACAUUAAUUAGGCAUGUAUGUGGUAUAGAGUUGUUAAAAAAAUUCAAAUAUAAUUUACACAACAUAACAUUUGUUUUCAUACGUUUUAAGAUGUCCAAAUAAGCUGGGCACGGUGGCUCACGCCUGUAAUCCUAGCACUUUGGAGUCCGAAGUGUGCGGAUCACUUGAGUUCAGGAGUUUGAGACCAGCCUGGCCAACAUGGUGAAACCUCAUCUCUACUAAACAUACAAAAUUAGCUGGACGUGGUGGCAUGCCCCUGUAAUUCCAGCUACUCCGAAGGCUGAGGCAGGAGAAUGGCUUGAAUCCAGGAGGCGGAGGUUGCAGUGAGCCGAGAUUGCACCACUGCACACUCCAGCCUGGGCAAGAGAGAGAGAAUUUGUCUAAAAAAACAAACAAACAAAAAAACAAAAAAACAAAAACACACACACAUACACAUAGAGGAUGUACAAAUAGUUAAGUGCUUUUAGUAUAUUCACUACGUUGUGCAACCAUCAACACUAUCUAAUUCCAGGAUGUUUCCUUCAUUCCGAAAAGAAACCUGUAUUUAUUGUCAGUCAGAACAAUUCCUCUCAACCCCAACCUCUCUUAGUCACUGAUCUACAUUCUUUCUGUAUGGAUUUGACUGAUCUAGACAUUUCAUAUAAACAGAAUUGUACUAUACAUGGCCUGUUGUGACUGGAUUCUUUCACCUAGCAUGAUGUUUUCAAGGUUCUUUUAUGUCGCAGUAUGUUAUACUGCUUCAUUCUUUAAGACUGAAUAAUUGUAUGUACAUACCACAUUUUGUCUAUGUAUCAGUUGAUGGAUCUUUGGAUUGUGUAUGUUUAGUAUUAAGUGUCAACCUGAUUGGAUUGAAGGAUUCAAAGUAUUGUUCCUGGGUGUGUCUGUGAGGGUGUUGCCAAAGGAGAUUAAUAAUUGUGUCAAUGGACUGGGAGAGGCAGACCCACCUUCAGUGUGGGUGGGCACCAUCCAAUCAACGGCCAGUGCGGCUAGAGUAAAGCAGGAAGAAGAAGGUGGAAGAAGGUGGGAGAGGCCGAUUUGCUAAGUCUUCCAGCCUUCAUCUUUCUCCCGUGCUGCAUGCUUCCUGCCCACGAACAUCAGACUCCAAGUUCUUCAGCUUUUGGGCUCUUGGACUUUACACCAGUGGUUUGCCAGGGGCUCUCAGGCCUUCAGCCACAGACUGAAAGCUGCACUGUCGGCUUCCCUGCUUUCGAGGUUUUGGGACUCAGACUGGCUUCCUUGUUCCUUACCUUGUAGAUGGCAUAUUUUGAGAGUUCACCUUGUGAUCGUGUGAGUCAAUAUUUCUUAAUAAACUCCCCUUCAUAUAUGCAUAUAUCCUAUUAGUUCUGUCCCUCUAGAGAACCCUGACUAAUACAGAUUGUCUUUACUUUGGGCUAUUAUGAAUAGUGUUGCUGUGGGUAUGCAUGUACAAGUGGAAUUGCUGGGUCAUAUGACAAUCCUUUGUUUAACUUUUUAAGUAACUGCUAAACUGUUUUCCUGGGGUAUGGAACUUUAAGAUGGGCUUCAUGGUCCCUGUCUCCUGGUAUUCAUGUACCCCCUCUCCUUGAGUAUAGGCAGAAACUGUGACCUGCUUCUGACCAAUUGCAAAGGCAAUGAAGUGUCACUCUCUUCAGCAUGUGAGAUAACAUAAAACUGUGUCUAACUAGUCAAUUCACUCUAGACAUUCUCUCUCUCUCUCUCUCUCUUUCUCUCUCUCUCUCCAUUGCUUAUUUUGAAGUAGCAAGCUGCCAUAGUCAAUAACUACAAGGAAAUACAUUCUGGCAACUACUUGAGUGAUCUUGGAAGCAGUUUCUUCCACUGUUGAGCCUAUAGAUGAGGACACAGCUUGACUAACACCUGGAAUGUAGUCUCAUGAGACCCUCAGCAGAGGAUUGAAUAAGCUAUAUCAGUACUCUGAUCCACAGAAACUGUGAGAUAAUAACCACAUAUCAUUUCAAGUCUCCAAAUUUGUAUAAUUUGUUACCCAGCAUAGAAAACUAAUGUAGCAUGCUAGCAAUUGUUUUUAUUCAAAUAGUAUUUUCUGACACAGGUGAUUUCAUAUUCUUUGAUUUUUUUCUUUAGCAUUUUAUAAAUGAUUUUAUGUUAUGGUCUUAUGAAGGUUGAAAUCGUCUCCAAAGCUGCAUUUCUUAUGAGAAAUAUAGCUGCCAUCUGCAUUUUGUUCUUAAUUUUAUGGAAAAUGGCUUUAACAUUUCAAUAUUUGAUAUGUUAUAACUAACUAUAUAUAACUAUUAACAAAUUUUGUCUAUAACUAAUCUUCAUUUUUUAUUUCCACUUUUGUUAGGGUUCUUGUUAGGAAUUGCUGGUCCCCCUAAAUCUUAACAAUGACAUUUCUGUACCUAUCUACAUGAUCGCCUGCAGUUUUUUCCUUCUGAUUUGUUUGCACAAAGAAUUAUGCAGCCAGCUCAUCUGAGCCAAAAGGAAGGCAAGAAUUUUCCACCUUGCUGCUUAAUUGGCAGUCCGACAUUUGGCCCCGUGCACCUCUCAGAAGUUUGGCCACAAUGACUAGCCUCCUUCACGCCAAGCAGCAUUAGAGCUUUGUUAACACCAGGCAGCGGCACAAGCACAGAGUCUCUUUGCGGUUACAAUGUGACUUCAUGUAGCUGACAUCUGAGCAAAAAAAAAAAAAAAAAAAACAAAAAACACCAAAGAAGGUCUGGACAGUUUCUUUAUGAACAAACAGGAAGUAAAAAGAGAGCUAUGGCAUGAUCUGGCUUAAGAAGAAGUUGGCGCAUCACCAUGGAUGCCGCUGAUAGAAUUUUGCAGGGACAAUAGGGAUUUGGACAAGUUUAAAUUAUCAACAGAAUAAGUCUUGAAGCAGGCAUGUGUUUUCAGUAGGUGGGGAGAAGCAAGCCUGCAAAAAACACCUUCUCCACAUGUCUCCCAGCCUUGCUUUCCAUUGCUUCUGCUAAUAUCUUCUUAUCAUGAUCCAGUAAACAACUGCCAUAUCAGCCUCUGUUGAAAACUAUUGAAUAUGCACCACUUUUGGAGAAUUUGCCUGGGGAAAAUGGUUGUUCUCCAUGCUUCAUCCACUGUUACUCCUUAGAGAGGUCUAUGGAUAUCUGAGAGUUCUGAAUCUAUCAUCCACAAACUAGGAAGAAGAAGAACGCAAUACUUCCCACUAGUUUGGAAUGCCAUGUACAACUGACUAGAUUAAUACUGAUAAUUUGUGUUUGCUACAAAGAGAGAACAUACAACUAGUUAGGGAAGAGAUUUUGUGUGUCCAGUUUUUCUGCAUGGAAUCUGACAGCCCUCACUGCAUUGGGGUUGCUGCAGGCCUGUCACCUGGGUCUUGCAUUCUGUAUUCUCUCUACUGAAACAUCUUUCUGCUGGACUCUGCCAGCUCAGAAUAGAACCUGAGGCCAUGCUACUUUUUGUUUCAUUUCAUUCUCUCUGAGCUCUAAAAAGAUCCUGAAAACUAUAAUUUUCCAGCAAAGGUCUAGGGCUGACCAUCGGUAGAAUGAGACACUCCAUUAUGUUCUGACUCUGUGCUUAGGGCUUCCUAACUUUCCACACAAGGGUCCAUAUUCCUCAUGCUGUUUCCGUCUACCAUCUUCCCUCUUCAAUAAACCCCUCACAUCCCUCAUUUACACUAAGACAGGGGUUC